rnacentral:lncRNA from 1 species
GUUGUAGAACUGGUGCGGGUGGUGCACACCUGUCAUCCCUGCAGCUCAGGAGGCUGAGGCAGGAGGAUUGAAAGUUUGAGGCUAGCCUCAGCCACUAAGCAAGACCCUGUCUCAAAAUAAUCCUUUCCUGUUCCCCAAAACCCCUGGAAACUCCCAUUCUUCUUUCUGAACCCAUGAGUUUGACUACUUUGGGAACUUCAUGGAAGUGGAAUCAUCUUUUUGUGAUAGACUGAUUUUAUUUAGCCUGCUAUCCUUCAAGGUUCAUCCAUGUUAAAGUUGCCUGGCACAUAAAGGAAUCGUGUUUGUUGUAGAGAAUAUGAAAAAAAAACUUGAGGGAGCCUUUGUUCGGGGUGGGUACUGGGGAUCGAACUCAGGGGCACACGACCACUGAGCCACAUCCCCAGCCCUAUUUUGUAUUUUUAUUUAGAGACCGGGUCUCACUGAGUUGAUUAGCCCCCUGCCAUUGCUGAGGUGGCUUUGAACUUGAGAUCCUCCUGCCUCAGCCUCCCAAGCUGCUGGGAUCACAGGUGUGGGCCACCACAUGGGGCUUGGGGGAGCCUUUUAAUAAGCAGUGAAAGUCUCACCUUCAGCCCGGGGUCACGGGCCCACUCACCCUCACCGCUCUACUUAACCAGCUCUCAGAAGCUCUUGUUUUGGUAGGGAGACAACACUAUUUUAAUUUUGCAAAGGUUUAAAAAAAAAAAAUCUGGGAACGGAUUUUACACGUAGCUGAAUGUUUAGAGCAGUUUGGAUGCAGCAGGGAUGAGAGGGCAGAUGCGGGUUUAGUCUGUUUCUAAGGCUUGGCGUGUCCAGGGCCUUCCACCCCACGAGCCGCCAAGAACCAUCUGGCUGCCUUUCUCUUGCCGACCCUACCAGAGUCACCAACUCCCCACCCGCCCUGGCUCUGCCACCGUCCCAGCCAGUCCCGGCUGGCACUAGAAAACUUUCCUGUGUGAAUUUUGGGCCCACGUUGGUUGGAUUCCUUGAAAUGGAUUUCUAAAAGCAGAAGAGCACUGUGGAAGUUUUGAUUUGCAUAAUCAACUUGCAUUGCCAAAGGCUGUGCCAAUGCGAGUGGCCGUCCGGGCUUCCAGAGCACCCCCCCAAAUCCUCCUAUACAGACUGACUCCCAGCAUCUGCCCUCCCACAGGUGAGGAAACUGCGGCUUCAAAAGUGAGGACUUGCUGGCCAUCACAGGUGGCAGAGCUGGGACUAGACCCAGGCUGUGGUGGUUGCUAAGGUGCCACCACCUAAGGUGUUC